rnacentral:lncRNA from 1 species
CCAUUUCUUAGCUAACCCAUAUCUUUCCCUACAAUUCUUCUCUACUUGGUUUUUUAAUCCACAAAUAUAUCCUGGAGUGCUCUUUGUGUUGUCAGAGAGAGAUAUUUCUUAAUACUUUCUCAGCUGCAUAGUACUCCACUAUGUGGGUGUACCUUUAACUAAUGGCCUAAUGAUCACCAUCUGGUUCAUUUCCAGUCUUUAGCUUUGAAAUUAGUCCAGUAAUGGCAAGCUCCAUUCAUACGUCUUUUUCUCUUUUUGCAGGAAUCUUUGGUGGGACUCUCUGAGGUUGCUGAGUUAAAGAAUAAAUGCCCAUGUAAUUUUGCUAGAUAUUGCUAAGCUUCCCUCUAUCCAGGAACUUGUACCAUUUUGCAUUCCCACCAGCAGUGUAUAAGGAUGCCUGUACAAUACGGCUUUACAAAUACAGUACAUGUCAAACUUUGAGAUUUUUGCUUACCCUUUAGGGAGAAAUUGAUGUCCGUGGAGUUUUAAUGUACAUUUCUAUUGAAUGAGUUUGGGCAACAUUUCAUAAGGUGAAAAGCCAUUUUCAUCUCCUUUUUGGUGAACUUUGUUUCUCUAGACUUUUGUCCAUAGCAGUGCUCCCCAGUAUAAUUCCAGUGAUGGAAACAUUCUCUACCUGCACUAUCUAGAUAGAAUUCAUAUAGUGGCCACUAAUCACAUGUGCUGUUGAAUAUUUAAAAUGAGGCUGGAAGAACUGGGGAACUAAGUUGUUUUUAUUUGCUUUUUAGGGCCAUGUGUGUGACAUAUGGAAAUUCCCUGGCUAGGGGUGGAAUCGGAGCUGCAGCUGCCGGCCAACACCACAGCCACAGCCAUGCAGGAUCCAAGCCCCAUCUGUGACCUACACCACAGCUUACUACAACGCUGGAUCCUUAACCCACUGAACAAGGCCAGGGAUCGAACCCAUGUCCUCAUUGAUUCUAGUUGCGCUUGUUAUUGUUGAGCCACGAUGGGAACUUCCUGGGAAACUAAAUUUUUUAUUUUAAUUUGCAUUAAUUUAAAUAAUCUCAUUGACUGGUGGCAACUGUUUUAGGUAGCGCAGGUGUUUUGGGUUUUUAGUCUAGUCUCUUUUUAGAAGCUCUUUCUAUGUUAGGUAGAGGUAUUGGUUCCAAGAGAAAGAGAAGCAGCCCCUGACAUUUGAGAAUUGGCCUGCCACAGCUGGACCUCAGUGCCAGCAGUUUGCCUGGUACGGAUGCCUAGGUGCUUGUCCCCUUGUUGAUUACAAAUAAUCUAACAGAGCACCAGCAUCAGAUAAAGUCACUCUGCAACCAUGAUAGUCAAAGCAAAGCAAAGCAAAACAAAACACCAUUUGAAAGUCUUGACUAAGCAUAGACAAAAACAAGGUUACUGUGUAAACCACAGAAAACAAAACAAAAAACAAAAACCCACACACAUCUUCCUCUGCUGGCUCACGUGGAUGGCUGCUGUUUCUCUAUCAACUAUGGCUUUAGCUCUGAUUCAUUUCUCCUGCCGCAAAGAUAAGGUUAAUAAGAUGCUCAAGUAAUAGAUUUUUGCAUUGUUUCCUGACAACAUCCAAUCCAGAGCAAAUCCCUACUUCCUUGAGCCCUUGCCAGUGUUGCCUAACCAAAGCCCAGCUCCUCGAGUGGUUUUCAAGAUCCUCUUCUUCAAUCCCACUCUGGUGCCCCUUUGUUUCAAGGGGCUUUAUCCUAACUUGUUUAGUGGCAGGUGUGUGCUUAGUGGUCUUUGGCUGGAGGGCAUUGACAAAGCUUUGUGAUUCUCAUUUGCUGAUGUUUUCCCAGUUUGUCAUUUUCCACGUUACAAAAUGUGUCUUUUUUACUAUGCAAAUUUGUAUUUUUAAGAAAUAAAACAUAAUUUUAAUUGCUCUGGAAUCUGUAUCAUAGCAAAGGAGAAUUUUCCCAUUCCCAGACUAUAAAGGAAUUUAUUCAUCUUUGCUUUUAAUACUGGCAUGGUUUCAAUUUUUACAUUUAGAUCUUUGAUUCAGUUGGAAUAUAUCCAGGUGUAUGGGGUGAAAAAGGCGUAACUUUUUCUAUAUGGUUAUUUAUUAUUCUAGUACUAUCAAUAAAAAUCCAAGUUUUCCUCUCUGAUGUGAGAUAUCACCUUCAUUGCAUCCUAUAUUUUAUGUAUGUAAUUAGGUCUGUUUCUGUAUUUUGUAUUUUCUUCACUGGUCUAUUUGUCCAUUCCUGUGCAAUACCACAUUGUUUUAAUAUAGAGGCUUCAUAAUAUGUUACUUCUGGAAGGGCUAGGCUCGUAUCCCCGAUCUGCAUUUUGGAAUUUUCCUGCCAUCCUUGGGGUUUCUGCCCUACUAGAUUAGUCAGGUUGUCUCAUUCUAGGGAAAAGCCCUAAUGUUAACUUUAUUGGUAUUAUAUAAUUUAUAAACCAUCUCAGUGAGAAUUGUCACAUUUAUGCUGUUGUCUUCCUGCCUUUCCAACUUGCUCAGGUUUUCUUUUGUACCCUUAGCAGUAUUUUGUUAGGUUUGUUAUUUGUUUGUUGUUUUGGUUUUUUGUUUUUUCUCUUGGCCACUGGGGAUCAAACCUGUGUCCCAGCACCCCAGAGAUGACACCAGUCCUGUUGCACCAUAGCAGGAAUGCCUCCUCAGCAGUGUUUUAGAAUUGACCUCAUUUAAGUUCUGGGUGUUUAGGUUCAUACCUAUUUUUUGUUUUUGCUCUUUUACUAUCAAAAACAUUGUCUUCUCUCUCCUUACUACAUUUCAUAUUUGAUUUUAAUUAGUAUAUGAAGUUAUUGGGUUUUAUCUGUUAAUUUUAUAAUCUCUAUUAAAAGUUUAUUAUUUAAAGUAGUUUUUCACUGGUUCUUUGGAAUUUGCUUAUAUGUGAAAUCAUGUUGCCUACAGAGUGGGCUGCUUUUUCCUUUCAAAUUUUUGUCCUUAGAAUUGCUUUUUCUUGUCUAAUUGUAUUGGCUAGUACUUACAUCCCCAUGUAAAAUAGUAGUUAAUAUAAUGUGCAUCUUUGUCUGGUUCCUUACAUUGUUGAAAAGUUUUUAGUGUUACUACAUUAACUAAGAUUUUGGCUCUCGAUUGUAGAAAGGAAGGAGCUAUCAAUUUUUAUUCCACUGAAUACUUUUAACAUGAAUGAAAUCUACCAUUGUCAAAUGCCUUAUCUACCUCUGUGGAGAUGAUUAUAUGAUCUUUCUCUUUAGCUCUUUUAAUAUAAAGGAUUAUAUUAUUGAAUUUUCUAAUAAGGAAUCACCUUUGCCUUCUCAGAAUAAAUCUCACUUGUUUGGUAUGUGUUAUUUUUAAUGAGCACUUUAUUUUAUGUUUUAAUAUUUUAUUGAAAAUUUUCACUGUGAUAUUUACAAGUGAUUUUGGUCUAGAGUUUUCUUUUUGAUGUAAUCUAGUGUACUUUUUAGUAUAGUCUUUCCAAAUAUGGAAGGUACAAAAACAGCACUGCAAAACAGUGUUAAAGAUAAACCUGAUUCCUGUAGCAACUAACAUGAAAAAUGAAAAAGGGCACAAAUUAUUUGAGGGAAAAAAAAAAACAAACCCAGAUCCCCUAUUUGACAGGGAAAGAGAAUUUAUAUACCAUUCAUGUUUGUGACUAAAAUAAUCCAUUGCUAUUUUAAUUUUUUAAUUCUCCCUGCGCAGCAACUAUAAUUAGAAAUGAGUUCUAGACGCACCUUUUUUUUUUUUUCCAGCAGCUAUUGCCAAACACAUCCACAAUUUCUAAAAAUGCUUUUUUUUCUUGAGUAAACAACAAAAAGUGAUUAAAGGCAAAUAAUAAUAAAUGUGCAGGGCACAGGGGCGACCCAUGCCCAGAGUAAGUUUCUUGCUGCCUCAGGCUUUGACGAGAGCUAAAGAAACAGCUUUUUGAUGUUCAGAAGAUAAGAUGAAAAAGUUAAAGAGCUGCCUUCCAAAACCCUAUAACCCCCGUCUAUUCAUAAGUAAAACAUCCACUGAAUCCUAAUUGAGGGACAUUCUACAAAAUUCCUGACCAGCACUCCUCAAAAAUGUUAAGGUCAUCAAAAACAUGGAAAGUCUGAGAAACUCAUAGCCAAGAAGUGCCUAAGGAGUAUUGGAGACUAAAUGCAAUGUGGUAACCUAAAUGGGUUACUGGGGCAGAAAAAGGACAUUAAGUAAAAACUGAGAAAAUAUGUAUAAAUUAUGGACUCUUAUUUAAUAACAAUUAUCAUUGCUUCACUAAUUGUGACAAAUGUAAGCUGCUAAUACAAAUGUAAGCUGCUAAUAAUAGAGGAAAAAGGAGAUGAUAAAUAGGGGGACUCGGGGGACGCUCUGUACCAUCUUCUCAAUUUUUCUGUGACUCUAAAACUAUUCUAAAAUUAAAAGUGUAUUUUUAAAAGUCAAAGGAGGAGGUCCCUUGUGGCUCCAUGGGUUAAGAAUCUGGCAUUGUCACUGCUUUGGCAUAUUCAUUCCCUGGCCUGGAUGUGCUGUGGGUGCAGCCUAAAUAUUUUUUUUUAAAAGUCAAAGGAGCUUAAAAUAUAAUAAAGUUGCACCUUUUCUCUGGAUGCCCAAAAAUAUAGAAUUAGGCCAACAGAUAUACUCAGUGAUACUUAGCAUCACUGUCAUCAGGGAAAUGCAAAUUGAAACCACAGUGAGAUAUCAUCUCAUACCUGUUAGAAUGGCUAUCAUCAAAAAGAUAGUCAUAAAUGUGGAGAAAAGGAGCCCUUGUGCAUUGCUGGUUGUUGCAAGUUAGUAUAACCACUAUGGAAAACAGUAUGGAGGUUCCUCCAAAAAUUUACACUAGAACUGCUGGAGUUUGCUGGUGACCUAACAGUUAAGGAUCCAGCAUUGUCACUACUGUGGCUCAGGUUACUUCUGUGGCAUCAGUUUGAUCCCUGGCCCAGGAACUUCUACAUGCCACAG